ACGUAAUAGAUACCCGGGUAGUCCACGCCCUAAACGAUGUCUACUAGUUGUUGGUGGAGUAAAAUCCAUGAGUAAACGCAGCUAAACGCGUGAAGUAGACCGCCUGGGGAGUACGGUCGCAAGAUUAAAACUCAAAUGAAUUGACGGGGGCCCGCACAAGCGGUGGAUUAUGUGGAUUAAAUUCGAUGCAACGCGAAAAACCUUACCUGGCCUUGACAUGUAACGAACUUUCCAGAGAUGGAUUGGUGCUCGAAAGAGAACGUUAACACAGGUGCUGCAUGGCUGUCGUCAGCUCGUGUCGUGAGAUGUUGGGUUAAGUCCCGCAACGAGCGCAACCCUUGCCAUUAAUUGCCAUCAUUUAGUUGGGCACUUUAAUGGGACUGCCGGUGACAAACCGGAGGAAGGUGGGGAUGACGUCAAGUCCUCAUGGCCCUUAUGGCCAGGGCUUCACACGUAAUACAAUGGUCGGUACAGAGAGUUGCCAACCCGCGAGGGGGAGCCAAUCUCAGAAAGCCGAUCGUAGUCCGGAUUGUAGUCUGCAACUC
rnacentral:rRNA from 1 species